rnacentral:rRNA from 1 species
GGCCUUGACAUACUAAGAACUUUCCAGAGAUGGAUUGGUGCCUUCGGGAACUUAGAUACAGGUGCUGCAUGGCUGUCGUCGGCUCGUGUCGUGAGAUGUUGGGUUAAGUCCCGCAACGAGCGCAACCCUUUUCCUUAUUUGCCAGCGGGUCAUGCCGGGAACUUUAAGGAUACUGCCAGUGACAAACUGGAGGAAGGCGGGGACGACGUCAAGUCAUCAUGGCCCUUACGGCCAGGGCUACACACGUGCUACAAUGGUCGGUACAAAGGGUUGCUACCUCGCGAGAGGAUGCUAAUCUCAAAAAGCCGAUCGUAGUCCGGAUCGCAGUCUGCAACUCGACUGCGUGAAGUCGGAAUCGCUAGUAAUCGCGGAUCAGAAUGCCGCGGUGAAUACGUUCCCGGGCCUUGUACACACCGCCCGUCACACCAUGGGAGUUUGUUGCACCAGAAGUAGGUAGUCUAACCGCAAGGAGGACGCUUACCACGGUGUGGCCGAUGACUGGGGUGAAGUCGUAACAAGGUAAGCGUAGAUGA